CUAAUUCCCUAGUAUUUUCAGUAAUAAUAUGGUAAAAUAUUACUUGUUAACAUUUUCAGAAACUGUAUCUAUUACAUAAUGAAUUGAGUCCACCUUACAAUUUAAUUGCAAAAAAAAAAAGAAAUGAUGUUGCUGCCUUUAUUUUACAAAUAAGUAAAUGACAGGAUAAAAAAAUGUCUAACCUUAUUUCCAUGGAAGGCCU
rnacentral:lncRNA from 1 species